AUUGAACGCUGGCGGCAGGCCUAACACAUGCAAGUCGAACGGUAACAGGAAGAAGCUUGCUUCUUUGCUGACGAGUGGCGGACGGGUGAGUAAUGUCUGGGAAACUUCCUGAUGGAGGGGGAUAACUACUGGAAACGGUAGCUAAUACCGCAUAACGUCGCAAGACCAAAGAGGGGGACCUUCGGGCCUCUUGCCAUCGGAUGUGCCCAGAUGGGAUUAGCUAGUAGGUGGGGUAACGGCUCACCUAGGCGACGAUCCCUAGCUGGUCUGAGAGGAUGACCAGCCACACUGGAACUGAGACACGGUCCAGACUCCUACGGGAGGCAGCAGUGGGGAAUAUUGCACAAUGGGCGCAAGCCUGAUGAAGCCAUGCCGCGUGUAUGAAGAAGGCCUUCGGGUUGUAAAGUACUUUCAGCGGGGAGGAAGGGAGUAAAGUUAAUACCUGUGCUCAUUGACGUUACCCGCAGAAGAAGCACCGGCUAACUCCGUG
rnacentral:rRNA from 1 species